AAAAUCUUGCUGGAGAAUUUCAGUCUGUAUCCUUGCAGGAAGUGCUGCAAUAGGGACAUGAAAGAGACCUUGUGUUCAUCUGGCCAGACUCCUCAUCUGAAUGCAGCCGGUGGGCUCUGCACUUGUAAAAUAUUACUACUUUCCUUAGCAGGCAGUAUGAGUGCAGUUUAGCUACUUACCCAUAUGGGACAAAGGUUGCAAAAAUUCAACAUGUCAUCAAGGCAAAAGGUAAGUGCUCACAAAAAAUGUGUUUCUUUUUCAUAAAAGGGGAAAGAGGAAGGAGAACCGGGAUAGACAGAAUUUUGUUGGUCAGUGUCAGUGGCUUUUUUGAGGUUUGCAAGGGUGCCACAGAAUGCAGUCUCAUGCUCUCGAUAGCUGUGAACCAGCUCAUGAUUAGGAAAUCUUAUUUUUUUGGAGGAAUAUGAAGUAAGAUUGGAAUGCACAAAGGGUAGUCAGGUGAACAGUGUCACCAUUUUCAUUUUGGAGAAGCAUGAUGGGGUGAAGACUGGGCAAGUGGUUUGAGAUACGGUGGGACCAAAGUCAUCAGCUUUCCAAACAAUAUGGUGCCUCUGCUAUGCAUGUUCUGCACUGAGAACUAGGAAGAGAAAAUGCCCUUGUCUGGUUGAGGCUGAGAACUGGACUUUGUGAAACAGAACAUCAUUUAGGAUGCCCACAGGGCCAGAGACCUGGCUUCUUUUGUCAGACAAAAGGAAGCUAGAAAGCAGCAUCAAGUAAGCCCUAGGGGAGAAUGUGAAUAGGGAUGAUAUUUAAACAUAUUAAAAUUAAAUGCUUGUAAAGGAGCAAAUGGUUUUAAGUAGGACAUGAGUGGAUUUGGCUACAAAUUAAACAACAGUUGUGUCCGCUGGCCAGCAGUGAGCGCAAAGAGUCCGAAUUGAUAAGAAGAUGCAGCUGGGCAGAGAUGUUAGCUGAGCUGGGCAAACUUGUGUCUGUGCUCAAGGGGGGUGAGGGGGUGGAUUUGAUGACCCCAGACACUUCUUUCAGGCCCAGGUUUCUGUUAGCAAGCUGAGAAGGAUUAAAUUGAUGCAACAAACUUGGCAAGGUUUUGGUUAAGAGUUGCAAAGCUAACGUGCUCACCUGCUGCUGCCUGGGGCUGUACUCAGCAUACUUUCAAGGGCUGAGAGCAGGGCAGGUGCAGGGGAUGUUAGAGGUAGCAGAGGGGAGCAGCGUCCAUGUGUGCAGUUCUGUCCCUUGUGCAAUUUUUCUGUAUCUAAUAUAACUAAUAUAGUAAUUGUGAUAAUCAAGCACUGAUUGUCUUUCCUUGCCUAUGUUUAAUACUGGUAUGUUUGAUGCUGUAAAUGUGGUCUACGUUAAAUAUGUGCAGCUGCUGUGGAUUUUUCAACCACUGCAUUAUGUGUUACUGAUAACAUUUGCUGGAGACAGCUAAAAAUAUCAGUUUGCAAUGCACCUCUUGAAGCUUUUCAUUUUAAAGUAAUUGGAGUUUUGCAAUGAACACUGCCCGCUCAAAAGAAGGCAGAAGACCAUAAUGCCGCCUGUGAGUGGAAUGGAGAUGGGCAGUCAUUAUCAGUAAAGUACAGCUCCCAGCUGUGUCAGAGCAAAGUAAAUCCAGUACUUUAUCUAUUCCAUCUCAGUCCACAAACCAGAACUACCAGGAGAGCAAAGUUCAGGAGUGCCCAUGCUGGAUGCAGCAUAGGGGCUGGCCAGAGAUCUUAACAUCUGCCCAACACGCACCAUUGCAUGACUGUACCACUGCUCUUCCUGCUUAAAUGUGGGGGUGCAGACAGAUCUGACUUCUGGAUCACAGAUGUGCUGUGUUCGAUGCAUCACUUCUGACCUCCCACAGGUGGAUUUGAGCCCUGAAGGAACAGGGAGAGUAGGAGGUGCUGAGAUACUUUUUAAAAUAGACAACACAGAAAAGAGUGAGAGGCUCUGCUCCUGAGGGAAGGCAGGUUUGAGAAUAGAAAAGGGCCACUUACACUGAAAAAUGGAGUUGAUCUUAACCUGUCUGACACACUGAACACCUUACCUGAUGCAGAGAAAGUCUGCAGAGUAAAGGAAAUAGAGGGGCACGAGAUUGAUGUGAAGAUUUAUUGCAGUGGAAAAAAUCAUAUGAGAAAAAUUGAAGAUCAGCUUCAAAAGGAAAUGCCUUGGUCCAGCAGUUAAGCAAAGGUUUAUGUGAAUUUUGGUAAGGUCAUGAAUUAGAGUAAUGACAUUGCAUCUGGAAUUGGAUGCAGGACUUUCAUUAACAAAUGUGUCUAUGGAUAGUGGUGAAAAAUGACUCUUCUAAUUAAAAAAAAAGAAAAUCCUGCUCCUUCAUCAGAAGACCCGAAUCAUAAUGAACACCGUGUUUCUGAUUUUCCUUCUUGGGCUUUUUCAGUUGUUGUUGUUACUGUUGUUGCCACGAUAAAAGGAGAGUGGCAUUACAUGAAGGAAGUGCAGUUAAACCAGACUUCAGAAAUUCCAUGCUUUAAGAACGUGACCUCAAGAAACGAGUGCAAUUAUGCUUUGAAAUGGACAGUGCUAAGUAUAAGUAUUAUUUCAUCUCGGGUACAAAUUACAGGAGAAAAUACAGGGUAUUUUUGCAGAGAGAAAUAGAAAACGUUAGAUCUUACCGUGUCCUGCAGAAUCUGUUAAACAAAAGCUAUCAAUUGUGUUAGAGCACGAUUAUAAAGGAAAAGGUAUAGCUGUAGAUUUGCAAUAGAUACCACAAACAAUAGCUGUUAACAAAAAUACAUAGAGGGAAAAUCCUUUCUUAAUUGCUUUUUAUUUUUUCAUGAGCACAUGUAGAGCAGGUCUGUGGAAAGCGCCAAAGAAUUUAGCAAACAUAAUAACUAAAAUAUUCUUUGCAUGGGAUUUCUCAGGGAUCUUUGCUGUAGCAAAGCUCUAGUAUCUCUGAAAAAUACAGUUACUGCAUGGGUUAGUGAGAUAAUAGGCUUUUUUUU
rnacentral:lncRNA from 7 species